UCUCCGUUGGUGAACCAGCGGAGGGAUCAUUACCGAGUUUACAACUCCCAAACCCAAUUUGAACCAUACCAAACUGUUGCCUCGGCGGGGUCACGCCCCGGGUGCGUCGCAGCCCCGGAACCAGGCGCCCGCCGGAGGGACCAACCAAACUCUUUCUGUAGUCCCCUCGCGGACGUUAUUUUUACAGCUCUGAGCAAAAAUUCAAAAUGAAUCAAAACUUUCAACAACGGAUCUCUUGGUUCUG
rnacentral:misc_RNA from 1 species